rnacentral:lncRNA from 1 species
AAAUGCACAGUUCUUUCUUUUUUCUUUUCUGCCCUGAAAUUCAAUUUCCGUUAUUUCUUUUUUACUUUUCUGGCACACACAAGCCCUCAACGAAAUCUUUCCCUUUUUUUUUCCUCCACAUAGAAAUUGAAAUGUAAAAAUUUCCGCCCAUCGCCCACAUCACAGUGCAUGCUCUUCACUCUAACGAUUUAGGGUUGGUUUUCUCCUCCUGAAAUAGCAAGUUCUCUUUCUCUCUUUAAUGUCCCAUUAUCUUUCACUAUAAUGAUUUAGGGUUCACUCUAAGUUGUGAUUUAAUGUGAUAUCCGUACGAAAAUUUUGGUGCGAAAUAUUUGUGCAUUGCAAAAAUAGUUGUGCGAAAUCAGUCUCUGCAUUGCGAAAAUAGUUGAUAUCCGAUUUUAAUUCCUCUAAGUUUGAUAUUUGUGCGAUUUUAAUGUGAAUUUCAGCAAUUACAACUCGAAUUGAAGCGUUUUUGUCGGUGAAUCUCCUGACAAAAGGUACAACUCGAAUUGCAGCUCUCUACCCUCUCCUUCCUAAUCUGUUUAUAUCCGAUUUUAAUUCCUCUAGGGUUUUGAAUGUGAUUUCCUAAUAUCUGAAUUUCAGUAUUUUCUGCAUGUCAUUUGAUUUAGGUUUCUCUGCUCCAAUUUCAAUAAUUUUUGCAUGUGAUUUGAUUUAGGUUCUCUCUGCUCCUUUUAUGAUUUUAUUAGCGCGAUGUUUGAGCUUGGUGCUCGAGAAAUCUCUUCAAAGUCAAUGAGUAAAUGUAUUGCUUGUAUAUGGAAUUUUCUGCUAACUUUUCGUACGAGUUUAGAUUUUCCCUAGACAUGGUAGUUUAUUUCUCAUAUUGUAGUAUUACUACUUUUUGUUCAAAAAAUUUUGUAAAAUGUUAGCAAAAGAAUAUAUCUCUUUGAUAUAUAUGGUAGUCUUCUAGCUUGCGACUAUUUAAUUCCUCAAUUUGACCCAUUUAUCUCCGUAGACUACUCCAAAAUGUAAACGAUUAAAGUGAGUUCAAAAGGCAUCAGCUUACAGACGUGCUUAAAGGGAAUGCAGAAACUUAGCAUGUCUAGGUGUAGUUUGUGAGUGUGCUACUUUAUAUCAUGUUGAUUGCAUUGGUAUUUGCAUGAGAUACUUUGUUCUAAUAAUGGCUGUAAAUCAAAGUGGUAAAAGAGUAACUGAUUUUGGAUAGUUGCUACUAAUCUGAUAUUUAUUUCCACUGUGCUGUUUUCAUUUCUCCAUUUUGAAAUAGAGAAAUGCAAGAAUAUUGUGCUUGUGUGUAUUCUGAAAGGAGCAUAUGAUGAUAGAUGUGUUCUUCUUGAAUGUGUUAAUUUAUUUUUUCUAAAGGAUGGACAUGUAUUAUGAGUCUAUGGUCAAAUAUGUCAUGGAUACUCAUGUCUGUCUUCCAAGUAAUCACUUCAGCCUACUAUCUAUUUGUGUAAAAGAUCACACUAAGUUGUCUAUACUUUCUGCUCUCAGCUGCUGAUUUGCUUCUGAUACUUGAUUCCUUAUACCAGAGGAAGAUUCAAAUAUUGCAUUUAAUUGGUAUUGAAGCUUUCACUUCUAGAAAUUUCUUGAGCUUAGUUAAUACAACACAUACCAGUGCAGUUUAAUUGUUGGAUUUCUAUAAAGAAAUUGUAUGUUCUGUUCUCUAAUUUCUGCCAGACCAUUUUCCUCUUUGCGUUUCUGUUAGGCAUGGUUUUGUACCAGACAUGUUGGUGACCGACAUGUUAUUACCAAGUACCUGCCAGUCUAAAUGUUGGUAGAUGUACUUUCAUUUUGAUUUCAACAAAAAAGAUGGACAUAUAUUACGAAUCUAUUUUCAUACAUGUCAUGGACAGUCCUGCCUAUAUGGCUUCGCCCUGCUAUCUAUUGAUUUGAAAAGAUCACCAGACUAAGUUGUCUAGAGUUCCUAGUCUCAACUGUUGACUUGGUGCUAAUACUUGAUUCCUUAUAGCAGGGGAAGAUUCACUUGUUGCAUAUAAUGUAGUGAAGCUUCCUUACAGAAAUUUCAUGAGCAUAAUUAUUAACACGUGUUGCUGCAGUUUUUUCUUAGAUAUCUAUAAAAUGAAUUGUGACUUUUGCCGCAAAAAUUUAAAAGGUGUUGUCAUUGCAAAUUGUUUGUGUGAUUAGGAAGUGGAGUCUUAAAUUUUGGUCUUAGGUGUAGAGGAUCAGAAUGGUUUUUGUGAUACAAGUUUUUAUGUUUGUUAAUUAUCCAAUGUGUUGUGUUUAGACCUCAGUCAAAAACCUGUAUCUCAGAAUUCUUGUGGAUAUCAUUGAAUAUAUUCUCAUUGUUGUUCAUGCUAGAUAACUAGCUAACUUUACAUUCCCUUUUACUUAACUUAUAAAAUUAUAAAGUAUGUCUUCGAUCUUAUAAAAUUGACAAGUUACUAAAUUAUUUUUCCUCAUGAAAAUCUUGUAGGUUAUAUCAAACUCUCUUGAGUAGAAGAGUACUGGUGGCAUACUAACCUGAUUUUGGGUCAUUAGCUGCAUUUUUCAAAGGCUAUAAGAUCUUUUCAAAUACUUUUUCAAUGGAUAAAUCUUGGAUUCUAUUGCCAAGGAACACAAAUGAAUACAAGAGAUCAAUCAAGUGUAUAAAGAUAGUAAAGCAACUCUGAAUUUUAAAUAAAGAAUGAUUCCAGUGCUGGUUUUCACAUGUUACAACCUAUUUAGGAAUGCUCUUAGUAAAUCUUUACUUUGGUUAGAGAAGUACCACACUAGAAAGAUAUGUCCUUCAUUUAGGAUCUUGAAUGAAACUUAGUUUGUGUGUUCACUUGAUGAGAAUUGCUAUCAGUUGCUACCUCGUCGCCUUCUUUGUUUUCUGGUAAUUCCUUUGGGAUGAUAAGUUGUCAUUGUGUAUCUUAUAUUCAGGAAACAAUUGAGCUAGUUGAAAGCCAAAGUGCCACAAAUGAGUCUGAACUCUGAAGUUUCACCAAAUGAUGUUAUUGGUAAGGUACUAGGAAAAGAGCAUUAUUGAAGGGUAAGGUGCUUGGGGUUAGGAGCUAUCCCGGUAAAGUUUUUAGACAAACAAGACGUCAUUUUGGAGGUAUAAAUUCUUCCAGUUGUGAUAAUGGUUCAUGUUCGUCCAAAUGCAAAGAGAAGUACAAUAAGAUUGUAAAUGCUCACAAUCAAAGCCAAGAGAAGUACAAUCAGAUUGUAAAUGCUCACAAUCAAAUCCAAGAGAACUAUGCUCAAAUGAUGACUACCCACCUCCAAAUGAUGAAUGCUCUCAAGACAUAUAUGAUUAUGAAAGAAGGGACAAUACCUGAACAGUUUGCUAGGAUUUUUAUUUCUCCUCCUCCGGCAGCGAUAAAUAAAAUCUAGCUAUAUGUAGUUUUUUAAUUUGAAAAACUAAAGAAAAAAAUAUUAAAUGCUUUUUAUUUCUUUGCAGCCAAGUGAUGCAGCUAGCGGAUCCAUGGGCAUAAGACGAUAAGACGAUCAUCUAUUUAUAGUAACCUUAAUGAAAAUUAUUGAAUUUCUUUGCAAAUGUAAUAGAUGAUUAAGUAUGACAUUUUACUUGAACGGUUGAACUAGAUAUUUUGUGUUUAAGUUUAGUUUUUGAGAUUUAUCGCAAUAUUAUCUACUUAUGCUUCUAUAAUAUGUGGAUGUUAUUUAACA